rnacentral:rRNA from 1 species
AUUGAACGCUGGCGGCAUGCCUUACACAUGCAAGUCGAACGGCAGCACGGACUUCGGUCUGGUGGCGAGUGGCGAACGGGUGAGUAAUGCAUCGGAACGUGCCAUUGAGUGGGGGAUAACGUAGCGAAAGUUGCGCUAAUACCGCAUAUUCUGUGAGCAGGAAAGCAGGGGACCGCAAGGCCUUGCGCUCUUUGAGCGGCCGAUGUCAGAUUAGCUAGUUGGUGAGGUAAAGGCUUACCAAGGCGACGAUCUGUAGCGGGUCUGAGAGGAUGAUCCGCCACACUGGAACUGAGACACGGUCCAGACUCCUACGGGAGGCAGCAGUGGGGAAUUUUGGACAAAUGGGGGCAACCCUGAUCCAGCCAUGCCGCGUGAGUGAAGAAGGCCUGGUUGUAAG